UUGGAGGGCAAGUCUGGUGCCAGCAGCCGCGGUAAUUCCAGCUCCAAUAGCGUAUAUUAAAGUUGUUGCAGUUAAAAAGCUCAUAGUUGAAUUUCGGGGUUAGUAGGUUGGUCAUGCCUCUGGUAUGUACUGGUCUCACUGAUUCCUCCUUCCUGAUGAAUCUUAAUGCCAUUAAUUUGGUGUUUUGGGGAAUUUGGACUGUUACUUUGAAAAAAUUAGAGUGUUUGAAGCAAGCUAACGCUUGAAUACAUUAGCAUGGAAUAAUGAAAUAGGACGUUCGAUCCUAUUUUGUUGGUUUCUAGGAUUGACGUAAUGAUUAAUAGGGAUAGUUGGGGGCAUUAGUAUUCAAUUGUCAGAGGUGAAAUUCUUGGAUUUAUUGAAGACUAACUACUGCGAAAGCAUUUGCCAAGGAUGUUUUCAUUAAUCAAGAACGAAAGUUAGGGGAUCGAAGACGAUCAGAUACCGUCGUAGUCUUAACCAUAAACUAUGCCGACUAGGGAUCGGAUGAUGUUAAUUUUUUAAUGACUCAUUCGGCGCCUUACGGGAAACCAAAGUGUUUGGGUUC
rnacentral:rRNA from 1 species